rnacentral:misc_RNA from 1 species
AACUCUCAACCCCCCUAUUUUGUAAUGAAAUGGCCGUGGGCUUGGAUUAUGGUUGUCUGUCGGCGUAAUUGCCGGCUCAACUGAAAUACACGAGCAACCCUAUUGAAAUAGACGGUUUGACUUGGCGUAAUAAUUAUUUCGCUAAGGACGUCUUCUUCAAAUAUAAGAGGUGCUUCUAAUGCGCUUUAUAGCACUUUAAGCUU